UCACGAUGAAAACACCGGUUCUCGUUCGAUCACACAAGUUAAGCAUCGUAGAGCCAGGCCAAUACUUAGAUGGAGGACCGCUUGGUACAAACUGGUACUGUAA
rnacentral:rRNA from 1 species